AUUGAACGCUGGCGGCAUGCCUUACACAUGCAAGUCGAACGGCAGCACGGGUGCUUGCACCUGGUGGCGAGUGGCGAACGGGUGAGUAAUAUAUCGGAACGUACCUUAUUGUGGGGGAUAACGCAGCGAAAGCUGUGCUAAUACCGCAUAAUCCCUAAGGGGGAAAGCGGGGGACCGUAAAGCCUCGCGCGAUUAGAGCGGCCGAUGUCUGAUUAGCUUGUUGGUGAGGUAAAAGCUCACCAAGGCGAUGAUCAGUAGCUGGUCUGAGAGGACGAUCAGCCACACUGGGACUGAGACACGGCCCAGACUCCUACGGGAGGCAGCAGUGGGGAAUUUUGGACAAUGGGGGCAACCCUGAUCCAGCAAUGCCGCGUGAGUGAAGAAGGCCUUCGGGUUGUAAAGCUCUUUUGUCAGGGAAGAAACAGCAGCUCUAACACAGUCUGCGAAUGACGGUACCUGAAGAAUAAGCACCGGCUAACUACGUGCCAGCAGCCGCCGUAA
rnacentral:rRNA from 1 species